AAGAUCCUUCCGUAGGGUGAAC
rnacentral:rRNA from 1 species